AUUGAACGCUGGCGGCAUGCUUUACACAUGCAGGUCGAACGGGGUGAGGGGGCAACUCCUCAUUCAGUGGCGAACGGGUGAGUAAUGCAUCGGAACGUGUCCCGUAGUGGGGGAUAACGCCGGGAAACCGGCGCUAAUACCGCAUAUGCUCUACGGAGGAAAGUGGGGGACCGCAAGGCCUCACGCUAUGGGACCGGCCGAUGUCCGAUUAGCUUGUUGGCGGGGUAAAGGCCCACCAAGGCGACGAUCGGUAGCUGGUCUGAGAGGAUGAUCAGCCACACUGGGACUGAGACACGGCCCAGACUCCUACGGGAGGCAGCAGUGGGGAAUUUUGGACAAUGGGGGCAACCCUGAUCCAGCCAUGCCGCGUGCGGGAAGAAGGCCUUCGGGUUGUAAACCGCUUUUAGCCGGAAAGAAAAGGCACGCCCUAAUACGGCGUGUUCUUGACGGUACCGGCGGAAUAAGCACCGGCUAACUACGUGCCAGCAGCCGCGGUAA
rnacentral:rRNA from 1 species